rnacentral:rRNA from 1 species
AAUCAACGCUGGCGGCGUGCCUAACACAUGCAAGUCGAACGCGAAAGGGAGCAAUCCUGAGUAGAGUGGCGUCCGGGUGAGUAACACGUGAAUAAUAUACCUGUAGGUGAGGAAUAACUUUCCGAAAGGGAAGCUAAUACCGCAUAACAAUCUUUGGGGGCAUCCUUGAAGGUUCAAAGGGGGGGAUCGCAAGACCUCCCGCCGAUAGAGUAGUUCGCGGCUGAUUAGCUAGUUGGUGAGGUAACGGCUCACCAAGGCGACGAUCAGUAGCCGGCCUGAGAGGGUGGUCGGCCACACUGGCACUGAAAUACGGGCCAG